ACUCCUACGGAAGGCAGCAGUGGGGAAUCUUGCGCAAUGGGCGAAAGCCUGACGCAGCCAUGCCGCGUGAAUGAUGAAGGUCUUAGGAUUGUAAAAUUCUUUCACCGGGGAAGAUAAUGACGGUACCCGGAGAAGAAGCCCCGGCUAACUUCGUGCCAGCAGCCGCGGUAAU
rnacentral:rRNA from 1 species